rnacentral:rRNA from 1 species
UACGUAGGGGGGCUAGCGUUGUCCGGAAUCAUUGGGCGUAAAGCGCGUGUAGGCGGUUCGGUAAGUCCGCUGUGAAAGUCGGGGGCUCAACCCUCGGAAGCCGGUGGAUACUGUCGAGCUAGAGUACGGAAGAGGCGAGUGGAAUUCCUGGUGUAGCGGUGAAAUGCGCAGAUAUCAGGAGGAACACCAAUUGCGAAGGCAGCUCGCUGGGACGUUACUGACGCUGAGACGCGAAAGCGUGGGGAGCGAACAGG